rnacentral:lncRNA from 1 species
GGAUCCCUGGGCAUAGUCGCUUGUUCUCCGCCCGCGGUGGACCAGCUGCGUAACGGUUCACACACUGAUGGCGCCUGGAGGUUUGGCGAAAUACUGACAGGAUGCGACGUCAACGGGAGCGCAGGGCCAAGAUACCCUUUAUAUCAAACCGUCUAUCCUGGAGCAGAAAAAUCCUGUCUUCAUUGCUAUAGCUACAGAUUCAGAAAUGAGCAUGUAACAAAUUCAGGCCAAAGAGAGGCAAUGGAAAUCAGAGAAACACUGUUCCUGAAAGCUUCUGUCACUCAAGAAUCCAUGAAACAUUCAUGAACUUCACAUCAGAAGCCAAGCCCAGAAAAUAUGGGUUUAAGGUUUGCCUAUAUGUCCAAUACAAGAGAAAAAAGAACAUUCCACUUCUUUAGAAGGUUCUACUUUGAUCUCCUGAUUCCAGUUGUGAAAAAAAAUUGUGCCUAAAGAAUAUAGUCCCUUUAUAGAAUUGUUUUGAAACCUACCACAGGUAUUUCUACACAGGAAGAUUUCUGUAUUUGUCUUCUUAACUCUUGAGUUUUGUUGUUGCUAAUAUUGGAUGAAGAGGAGACAAAAUGAUUGGAUCUAGAGGAGCACCGACAAGCAAAUGGCAGAUUUUAAUGCAACUUGUUACACAAGAUGAACCCAAACAUAUUUGACUUUUUAUUUUCAGAAAAGCUUAAUACAUAGUUUUGAAUAUGGAUUGUCCCACAGGAUAAAUGCAUGAAAAAAGUUGGAAAAGAGAAAUUGAAUUACAUCCUAAUUGUAGUGUUUUCUCAGGCAGAUCAAUUUUAGAAAGAGAACAUUGACUUGGAAAACUGAAGAGUAAUUAUUCUAAAACGGUUGUAACAGUUUACUCCUUUUAUGUUUGCAAACUUCCAGGAUUAGUGAGUUGCAUAAAGUCACAUAAUUUAUUGCGUUGGUGCAAAAGUAAUUGUGGUUUUUGCCAUUAACAAAACCGCAAUUACUUUUGCAUCAGCCUAAUAUAAGUGAAUAAAUUAAUAUUAGAACACAGGUCUAAUUAAAAGGUUCUGCUGUGUUGUGUCCUGUGAUAACACAGAAAACAAACAAAUGGAUAAUUACAGAAAAAUUUUGGAUAUAAAAUUAGCAGGUAAUUUUCUCCCUCCUUUCCUUCCAUCUUUCCAUCCUUCUUUGCUUCCUUUGCUUUCUUCUUUUCCUUUGUUUUUUGUUUCUCUCUCUCUCUUUUUUUUUUUUUUUUUUUUUUUUUGCAAUUUGGAGAAGGAAGUACUUUAAAAGAAAAGUUAAAAGGCAGACAUAGAUAGCAUGAAGCCUAAUUGCAAGAUCUUUUUCAAACAUAUUAGUUUUAGGAAAUAGCACCUGAAUUUAAGUCCCUUAAAAUUGUCUAUGUCUUCACGUCCAAGUCUCUAUAUUUGCAGGGCUGUGUACAAUCUAGACUGAACAUGCUUGACCUAAAAACAGAAGUAAUACCUGGGGCAAAGCACGAUGUGCACCACAGUCUUCUCUCUUUAGUGUGUUAAGAUAAAGUUGAUUCCCAGAGUAGCCUGCCAUCACUAACUCUGAGGGAUGGUGGGCUAAUUUUGAUAGAAGGAGCAGAGGUGGUAGUUAGGAGGAAGGUGACUCAUCAUCAUUGUAUCAGCAGGCAUUGAUGACUGGAAAUAUCAGGGGGCACAGCCUGAAAGAGAAUGGCUUAAUUGGAAUUGAUAGUGGGAACUUGGAAAUCAAUACAUAUGCACUGAACAGAAAAUGGUAUGCUAUAAUCUACUAUACACUGUAUGUGAAACCCAAGCUCCAAAUUUUUCGGCCCAUGCAAUGUCCAGUAAAAUUUCUCUUAGUUACAUUAUAAUUGCAAUGUACAUGUAUUUGAGGAAAAAAAAAGUGAAAGAAAAAGUAACUAAAGAAAAGUGGAAAUGCAAAACUUUGUUUUUAUUAAUGUUAAAAUUUAUUUUGAUCAACUUGCUAUUCUUAAAAUUGACCAAUCUUCUUCCCUUCCUUGCCUCUUCCAUGGUUUAUAGGAUUAUUUUUCAGGGCUGAUCAGUUGGUGUUACAUGUGACUACUAUGCUUAAUGCUAUCUGGCUUCUAACUUUAAGCACUGAAAAAAAGUCCUUCGUAUUUCUCAGUGUGUGAUUGAACUGAGAUGACCAUCCUAAGCCUCCUCAUUACAUAAAUCCUUACCUUCUCCAGAAGCAACGAAUGGUGUUGAGAAUAGCAUAUGUUACUACUCAGCCAUAUUCCAUAGCCUUUUCUCCAAGAUAUUUUUCCAAAGUUGCCCCUUUUCUGAAUCCCUUGCAAGCAAACAAACAACAAAACAAUGGGUAAUAAAAUAAUUGUUUAACUUUCAUUUAUAUGCUCUGAGAUUGAUGUGAUUUUGAUAAAUAACUAUAUUAAAAGACAAAUGGGAGUGGUGAUUUUGUGAAAAGCCCAUGCCUCUGCCCAUGGAAUAUGUGGCUUGGCCUGGAGCUCUUAUUUUACUUAUAUAUUUCUAAGCAGAAUUAUUCAAGAAUGUCUCUUAUUACAGGUCUUGAAACUUGGACAGCCAACAGAAAGGAAGCUAAUAAAUAAAUUUGUCAGAACACGAUUCUCAGUUUCACUUAUUUUGAAUUAAAGGUAACCUGGAAAAUGGAUUAGGAAAACAGCCUAUAAUCAGAGGAGUGACCCCAGUGAGACCCUGUCAUUAAAACUUUAGUGUUGAGCCUGCAAACCUCUGUUCCUCUGAUUAGGCAAUUUACUCCAUUUCCACCUUUCUGUCUGCCAAAACAUUUAGUGGCAAAACAUUUUCUAAUUCUCUAGACUCAUAAAAUGUUGUUUUGAAAAAAAGUAAAACAGAAUGGAUUACCUUUUUAAGCUGUCUAUCAUAAUGUAAUCAGAAAACAUGAGGGAUUAAUAGAUAAUAUUGUAAAGAGGCAAAGGCAGCAGAUGUUAUUUAGAUGAGCAGAAGGUCACAGACCUCUGUUGAGGAUUGAAAGCUUGAGGUACGUGCCUUUGUUCCUCAGUGUGUGUGGAUCAGAGUGAUUACUGAUAUCAGUUAGCAACAUGGUGGAGGGGACAAACUGGGGCUGCAUUUUCACUAUGUUUAUUAUUGCUCAAGGUCAAAAAGUGACUGUGUAGUGCCUCAGUUUUUACAUCUUUGUGUUAUCAAUAUUUUUUUCUAUUACCUUACAAGUUUAUUUUGAUGCUGUAAUGAUGAGACAGUGUUUUGAAAAGUUCUAAAUAAAUAAAAGGGUAUUCUCUAACUUUUAAAUUCUGACUUUGAUAUUUUAAAACUAUAACAGAGUUUCAAAACAUAUGGAGAAAAAACCCAAAUAGAACUCAAAAGAGAAAUGGACAAAUCCGUAAUUUCCAUCAUUAUUAGGGAUUUCAACAUUCCUCUUCCAGUAAUUAAUAAAACAAGCAGACAGAAGUUUAGAAAAACUAUGCAAGACUUGAACAUACUGUUAACCAAAUUGGCCCAGUCCUCCAAUAGUGGAAAUAAAAUGAAAUACUAAAAUAGUCAAACAAAAGGAAGACAGGACAAGAGUUGAACAAGGAUAAAGAAUAGGUGUGACAAAUGAUACAAAUAACAAUCUGGUAAAGUGAAAACCAGCCAUAUCAAUAAUAUAGUAAAGGAAAAUAGUCUAAAUAGAACGGAAAUGUUUAAGAUUUGAAGACUGGAUAUAAACCAAGCUUCAAUGUGAUGAUAUAUACAAGACAGAUAUUAUAAACAUAAAGAUAUAAAAAAUUAAAAAUAAAAGUGUGAAAAUCUAUAUGAUACAAACACUAACCAUAAGAAUGCUGGAGUGGCAUAUUAUAUCAGACAAAGAGAGUAUUAAAGUAGAUAUAGAAGAACAUUACAUAUUGAUAAAAGAAAAUGCCAGUUAGGUCAAGUUAUUGAUGGUAUUUAUCA